CUUAAAAUUAACGUCCUUGAAAUUUAAUUUAUAGAGAUAAAUCCAGAACUGAAGUCUGGCGUACACGAUGCGAUUUUAGUCGGUCGAUAAAAAUCGUUUGACAUACCGAUAUACAUCGGUAUACUCCGCACACGAUUACGAAAAAAAUACGCUCCCUGAACUGUAGUCGCCAUGUUGCCAAAUAAAUACAAGCAUGUGAUCACAGCAUGAAAUCAGAUUGGUUAUACUUAAAAUUCCACGGAUAAAAAUCGUAUAAUAUCAAGGGUGCGUUCCUUUAGUGCAAUCCGGAUUUGGAUUUUCAAAUCCGAUUAUCGAUUUUCAGUUUCAUUUAACAAAAUCUUAAAAUAGAUUCGAAUCUGAUGAAUCCACCUCAACAUAUGGAUUUUUCGUAUUCAAUCUGAAUCUUGAUUAGGAUUCAACGUUCCUUUUGAGCUUCUGGCCUCCUAGCAUGUACCUAGCUUGACCCGACCACAAUCUAUAGU